UACGUAGGGUGCAAGCGUUGUCCGGAAUUAUUGGGCGUAAAGAGCUCGUAGGCGGUCUGUCGCGUCGGCUGUGAAAACCCGGAGCUCAACUCCGGGCCUGCAGUCGAUACGGGCAGACUGGAGUUCGGCAGGGGAGACUGGAAUUCCUGGUGUAGCGGUGAAAUGCGCAGAUAUCAGGAGGAACACCGGUGGCGAAGGCGGGGUCUCUGGGCCGAUACUGACGCUGAGGAGCGAAAGCGUGGGGGAGCGAACAGG
rnacentral:rRNA from 1 species